rnacentral:rRNA from 1 species
GACGAACGCUGGCGGCGUGCCUAAUACAUGCAAGUAGAACGCUGAAGGAGGAGCUUGCUUCUCUGGAUGAGUUGCGAACGGGUGAGUAACGCGUAGGUAACCUGCCUGGUAGCGGGGGAUAACUAUUGGAAACGAUAGCUAAUACCGCAUAAUAGUAGAUGCUGCAUGACAUUUACUUAAAAGGUGCAAUUGCAUCACCACCAGAUGGACCUGCGUUGUAUUAGCUAGUUGGUGGGGUAACGGCUCACCAAGGCGACGAUACAUAGCCGACCUGAGAGGGUGAUCGGCCACACUGGGACUGAGACACGGCCCAGACUCCUACGGGAGGCAGCAGUAGGGAAUCUUCGGCAAUGGACGGAAGUCUGACCGAGCAACGCCGCGUGAGUGAAGAAGGUUUUCGGAUCGUAAAGCUCUGUUGUAAGAGAAGAACGAGUGUGAGAGUGGAAAGUUCACACUGUGACGUAUCUACCAGAAAGGACGCA